AGAGAGAGAGAGAGAGAGAGAGAGAGUAGGCUACUAUACUCUUAUAAGCAUAGAGUCCUCCGUACUCAUAAGUUACUUUCAAUGACAAAACUUGCGAAACGACGAUCCACACCAUCAAAUAUGAUCUAGAGUAUUUAAAAUUUCUAAAAAAUGGAUUUUGUAAUUUUUUGAAAUCAUAAUAAAGUCUAUCAAGCGGAUAUAAAAUGAAUGGUCAAAAUUGAACGAUGUCUUAAAAAUGGAUGAUCGGAUACUUCAAUUUAUGAUCGGAGUUAUUGAUCUUUAUCUAAGUGAAUAAAAUUUUUUAUCAAAAAUUAAACCGAUUUUGAUUCUUUUACACUGUUAAAUUAACAAGUAUCCUAUACCGGCCGUUAAAAAUUAUCAAUUUUAAGAUCUUUUGAUCGUAAGAUAAAUAAUAUCAAAAAGUUAUGAAAUUUGAUUUUUAGAAGUUUUAAAUGCUUUAGAUAAUGUUUAAUGAUGUGGAUCAUCGAUUUGGAAACUCUAUCACCAAAAACAACUUAUAAGUAUGAAGACCAUUGUACUCAUAAGAGUAUAGUAGUCGGACUCUAUAUGUAUAAAUGGGGAGAGAGAGAGAGAGAGAGUCCAGCUAUUAUAUUCUUAUGAGUACUAUCGUCGUUGUACUCAUAACUCUUUUUCAAUGAUUGAACUUUCAAUUUGACGAUUUAUACCGUUAAAUAUGAUUUAAAGCAUUUAAAACUUUUAGGAUCAAAUUUCAUUUUUUUUUCAACAUCAUUUACCUUACAAUCAAAUAAUUUCAAAAUUGAUGAUUUUUAACGGCUGUUAUGGAAUAGUUGCUAGUUUAAUAGUGUAAAAGAGUUGAAAUUGAUUAAAAUUUUGAUAGAAAAAUCUAUUCACUAUGUAGAUAAAGGGCAAUAAUUUCAAUCUUAAAUUGAAGAAUGCGAUCAUUCAUUUUUAGGAGCUCGUUCAAUUUUGACCAAUUAUUUUUUGCCCACUUGAUAGACUUUAUUAUGAUUUCGAAAAAUUGCGAAACUCAUUUUUUAAAAGUUCCAAAUGCUUUAGAUCAUAUUUGAUGGCGUGGAUUGUCGAUUCGAAAGUUCCAUCANGUAUAAAUUUAGUAAAAUUUUGCUCUUUUAUUUGUCUAUUGGGUUUGUUUUUAUAGGCCAACAACAUUGGCCCAAUUUUAACUAAACUUAGAUUAUUCACUCAGUCUAUAUAUAAUUAAAAUAUAUUAUAUUUAUAUAUUUUUAAUAUAUAUAUAUAUAUAGUGUAGAACUACUAUACUAUCGAAAAUAUAGAGGAUUUGAUGUUUUCGAAUUUUUGAUCCUUUGAUUAAGAAUUGUAUGGUUAGGAUGAUUGCGGUCCCCCCUAGGAUUAAAUAAUAUCCUUAGGAUUGAGUGGUCCAUACAAGAUAAUAAUAGUAUUAAUUCAAAGAAAUGAUUAAAGGGGUUGAUCUAAGAAUCAAAAAAUCGAAAGCACCAUAUUCUCUAUACUUUCGAU
rnacentral:lncRNA from 1 species